GGAUUAGGACCGAUGGAUCGACAGAUACUGAUCCCACCGUUGAACCACCACCCACACCAUAUUUUAAUAAUACAGAGGAGGAUUACACCCCUGGAUCAGCACUGCAUAAAUUGGGUGCAACGCUUGGAGAGCCAUAUUCUGAGGCAGUAUUGGUUGUUCUGAAGUGCCUUCACGAGAGGUCCAAUGGGAUGGAAGGAGUGCGCAUAGAAGAGCUGGCGAACAAUCUCCAU